UACGUAGGGGGCAAGCGUUGCCCGGAUUUAUUGGGCGUAAAGAGCGUGUAGGCGGCUUGGUAGGUCCGCUGUGAAAACUCGAGGCUCAACCUCGAGAUGUCGGCGGAAACCACUUGGCUAGAGUCCGGAAGAGGAGAGUGGAAUUCCUGGUGUAGCGGUGAAAUGCGCAGAUAUCAGGAAGAACACCUAUGGCGAAGGCAGCUCUCUGGGACGGUACUGACGCUGAGACGCGAAAGCGUGGGGAGCGAACAGG
rnacentral:rRNA from 1 species